rnacentral:rRNA from 1 species
AUUGAACGCUGGCGGCAGGCCUAACACAUGCCAGUCGAGCGGAUGAAGGGAGCUUGCUCCUGGAUUCAGCGGCGGACGGGUGAGUAAUGCCUAGGAAUCUGCCUGGUAGUGGGGGAUAACGUCCGGAAACGGGCGCUAAUACCGCAUACGUCCUGAGGGAGAAAGUGGGGGAUCUUCGGACCUCACGCUAUCAGAUGAGCCUAGGUCGGAUUAGCUAGUUGGUGGGGUAAAGGCCUACCAAGGCGACGAUCCGUAACUGGUCUGAGAGGAUGAUCAGUCACACUGGAACUGAGACAAGGUCCAGACUCCUACGGGAGGCAGCAGUGGGGAAUAUUGGACAAUGGGCGAAAGCCUGAUCCAGCCAUGCCGCGUGUGUGAAGAAGGUCUUCGGAUUGUAAAGCACUUUAAGUUGGGAGGAAGGGCAGUAAGUUAAUACCUUGCUGUUUUGACGUUACCAACAGAAUAAGCACCGGCUAACUUCGUG